GCAAGUCGGACGAGAACGGACCCUUCGGGGUCUUAGUAAAGUGGCGAACGGGUGAGUAACGCGUAGACAACCUGCCCCUAGGUGGGGAACAACUACGGGAAACCGUAGCUAAUACCGCAUAAUGUCAGAUGGCCGCAUGGCUGACUGAUCAAAGCUUUAUGCGCCUAGGGAUGGGUCUGCGUUGGAUUAGCUAGUUGGUGAGGUAAUAGCUCACCAAGGCAACGAUCCAUAGCGGGUCUGAGAGGAUGAUC
rnacentral:rRNA from 1 species